rnacentral:lncRNA from 1 species
CUACACAAAAUAUAUAUUAAUAGAGAAUAAGACAUAAUUGACACAAUAAACUAAAAAUUGCAAUUUAUUUAAAAUGACUCUAACUUAAACACUAAACUAAUAAAAUUAUAUUAAAAACUUAAUUAAAAAGACUCUAAAAAUAGCGACGGAUGAAGACUCAUCACAACCCCAAACUUAAUCUGUUGCUUGUCCUCAAGGAACAAUGCUUUCAAAAUAGUGCAACUCAACCUCAAGCACCAAACCAAACAUUCAUGUUAAUCUAUCUCCGUAAUCAAUAAGAACAAAACAUGUCAUUUUACAAAAAUUAUCAUGCUCAAGUUCACUUUCA